UGUCUUCCAAAUAAAGACUAGUAUGAACGGCCAAAUGAGGGCCUAACUGUCUCCCAUGGUUAAUCAAUGAACCUGAUCUCUCAGUACAAAAGCUGAGAUAUACACAUAAGACGAGAAGACCCUGUGGAGCUUUAGCUACACUAUUAAAUGUUAAAACCACAACCAACCGGUAUAAAAUUUCAUUAUAAUAGACAACUUUAGUUGGGGCAACUUUGAAAACAAAAAUAACUUUCAAGUACUUGUAGGCCAUAAUCCUCAGCCAAGAACAACAAGUCUAGGCACAACAAACGACCCAGUAUAACUGAUCAACGAACCAAGUUACCCCAGGGAUAACAGCGCAAUCCUCUUUAAGAGUCCUUAUCGACAAGAGGGUUUACGACCUCGAUGUUGGAUCAGGACCCCCAAGUAGUGCAGCCGCUACUAACGGUUCGUUUGUUCAACGAUUAAAGU
rnacentral:rRNA from 1 species